rnacentral:rRNA from 1 species
UACAGAGGGGGCUAGCGUUGUUCGGAAUUACUGGGCGUAAAGCGCACGUAGGCGGCUUUGUAAGUUAGAGGUGAAAGCCCGGAGCUCAACUCCGGAAUUGCCUUUAAGACUGCAUCGCUUGAAUCAUGGAGAGGUGAGUGGAAUUCCGAGUGUAGAGGUGAAAUUCGUAGAUAUUCGGAAGAACACCAGUGGCGAAGGCGACUCACUGGACAUGUAUUGACGCUGAGGUGCGAAAGCGUGAGGAGCAAACAGG